GAUGAACGCUGGCGGCGUGCCUAAUACAUGCAAGUCGAGCGAACGGACGAGAAGCUUGCUUCUCUGAUGUUAGCGGCGGACGGGUGAGUAACACGUGGAUAACCUACCUAUAAGACUGGGAUAACUUCGGGAAACCGGAGCUAAUACCGGAUAAUAUUUUGAACCGCAUGGUUCAAAAGUGAAAGACGGUCUUGCUGUCACUUAUAGAUGGAUCCGCGCUGCAUUAGCUAGUUGGUAAGGUAACGGCUUACCAAGGCAACGAUGCAUAGCCGACCUGAGAGGGUGAUCGGCCACACUGGAGCUGAGACACGGUCCAGACUCCUACGGGAGGCAGCAGUAGGGAAUCUUCCGCAAUGGGCGAAAGCCUGACGGAGCAACGCCGCGUGAGUGAUGAAGGUCUUCGGAUCGUAAAACUCUGUUAUUAGGGAAGAACAUAUGUGUAAGUAACUGUGCACAUCUUGACGGUACCUAAUAAGAAAGCCACGGCUAACUACGUG
rnacentral:rRNA from 1 species